AUUGAACGCUGGCGGCAGGCCUAACACAUGCAAGUCGAGCGGAUGAAGGGAGCUUGCUCCUGGAUUCAGCGGCGGACGGGUGAGUAAUGCCUAGGAAUCUGCCUGGUAGUGGGGGAUAACGUCCGGAAACGGGCGCUAAUACCGCAUACGUCCUGAGGGAGAAAGUGGGGGAUCUUCGGACCUCACGCUAUCAGAUGAGCCUAGGUCGGAUUAGCUAGUUGGUGGGGUAAAGCCCUACCAAGGCGACGAUCCGUAACUGGUCUGAGAGGAUGAUCAGUCACACUGGAACUGAGACACGGUCCAGACUCCUACGGGAGGCAGCAGUGGGGAAUAUUGGACAAUGGGCGAAAGCCUGAUCCAGCCAUGCCGCGUGUGUGAAGAAGGUCUUCGGAUUGUAAAGCACUUUAAGUUGGGAGGAAGGGCAGUAAGUUAAUACCUUGCUGUUUUGACGUUACCAACAGAAUAAGCACCGGCUAACUUCGU
rnacentral:rRNA from 1 species